rnacentral:pre_miRNA from 1 species
UCUUGUGGAUGAGAAAAGAAAGUGGUUUCUGAAGAUAGACUCUACUCCUGGUGAAGAUGCUUGUGAA